GAUGAACGCUAGCUACAGGCUUAACACAUGCAAGUCGAGGGGAAACGACAUCGAAAGCUUGCUUUUGAUGGGCGUCGACCGGCGCACGGGUGAGUAACGCGUAUCCAACCUGCCCACCACUUGGGGAUAACCUUGCGAAAGUAAGACUAAUACCCAAUGAUAUCUCUAGAAGACAUCUGAAAGAGAUUAAAGAUUUAUCGGUGAUGGAUGGGGAUGCGUCUGAUUAGCUUGUUGGCGGGGUAACGGCCCACCAAGGCAACGAUCAGGAGGGGUUCUGAGAGGAAGGUCCCCCACAUUGGAACUGAGACACGGUCCAAACUCCUACGGGAGGCAGCAGUGAGGAAUAUUGGUCAAUGGACGAGAGUCUGAACCAGCCAAGUAGCGUGCAGGAAGACGGCCCUAUGGGUUGUAAACUGCUUUUAUAAGGGAAUAAAGUGAGUCUCGUGAGACUUUUUGCAUGUACCUUAUGAAUAAGGACCGGCUAAUUCCGU
rnacentral:rRNA from 1 species